rnacentral:lncRNA from 1 species
GGGGCCAUCACCAUCGCCCAAGCCAUGAUCUUCUGCCAUACCCGCAAAACAGCUAGCUGGCUGGCGGCAGAGCUCUCCAAAGAGGGCCACCAGGUGGCCCUGCUGAGUGGAGAGAUGAUGGUGGAGCAGAGGGCUGCUGUGAUCGAGCGCUUCAGAGAAGGCAAAGAGAAGGUUCUGGUGACCACCAACGUGUGUGCCCGUGGUAUUGAUGUUGAACAAGUGUCUGUGGUCAUCAAUUUUGACCUUCCUGUGGACAAGGACGGGAACCCAAUAAGAAGAUAGAAAGAUUGGACACAGAUGACUUGGACGAGAUCGAGAAAAUAGCCAACUGAGAAGCUUCUCCAUGGGCUGGCGCCACCCUCAGCACUCCCUGCCUGGGACUCCAGUGCUUUUAUGGCAUAGGCCUUGACAGGCACCUCAAAGACCAAGGUCUGAGUAGAGACUACCUACCUCAUUCGGAAUUACGUUUGGACUUGACAGAAAUUUGUGCAAAU